UCCAAAGAUGAAGCGGCACUGGGCUCCGACGGUCGUUUGACAAAACGUUCCGGUCAUGACGGAGAUGCCUUUUUGUGGCAGGCCUAGAAAACCUCGCCCACUGAGA
rnacentral:snoRNA from 1 species